rfam:Candidatus Aminicenantes bacterium RBG_19FT_COMBO_65_30 rbg_19ft_combo_scaffold_3197, whole genome shotgun sequence.
UGGGGCGUAGCCAAGCGGUAAGGCAACGGACUUUGGCUCCGUCAUUCGGAGGUUCGAAUCCUCCCGCCCCAG